rnacentral:rRNA from 1 species
CCUACGGGUGGCAGCAGUGGGGAAUUUUGCGCAAUGGGCGAAAGCCUGACGCAGCAACGCCGCGUGGGUGAUGAAGGUCUUCGGAUCGUAAAACCCUGUCGUCAGGGACGAAGGUUGUAUGCCUAACAGGUGUGCAGCUUGACGGUACCUGGAGAGGAAGCCCCGGCUAACUCUGUGCCAGCAGCCGCGGUAAUACAGAGGGGGCAAGCGUUAUUCGGAAUUAUUGGGCGNAAAGGGCGCGUAGGCGGUGUCUUAAGUGAGAUGUGUAAUCCCCGAGCUUAACUUGGGAACUGCAUCUCAGACUGGGGCGCUAGAGUACUGGAGAGGGUGGUAGAAUUCCACGUGUAGCGGUGAAAUGCGUAGAGAUGUGGAGGAAUACCAGUGGCGAAGGCGGCCACCUGGACAGUAACUGACGCUGAGGCGCGAAAGUGUGGGUAGCAAACAGGAUUAGAUACCCUUGUANUC